GCCAGCAUGGCAUGGUGGUUUUAGUACUGGACUGUGAUUCUGGAGACCAGGGUUCAAACCCCCACUUAGGUC